rnacentral:rRNA from 1 species
GACGAACGCUGGCGGCGUGCUUAACACAUGCAAGUCGAACGGAAAGGCCCUGCUUUUGUGGGGUGCUCGAGUGGCGAACGGGUGAGUAACACGUGAGUAACCUGCCCUUGACUUUGGGAUAACUUCAGGAAACUGGGUCUAAUACCGGAUAUGAGCUCCUGCUGCAUGGUGUUGGUUGGAAAGUUUCGGCGGUUGGGGAUGGACUCGCGGCUUAUCAGCUUGUUGGUGUGGUAGUGGCUUACCAAGGCUUUGACGGGUAGCCGGCCUGAGAGGGUGACCGGCCACAUGGGGACUGAGAGACGGACCAGACGCCUACGGGAGGCAGUAGGGGGGAAUAUUGCACAGUGGGGGGGAGCCUGAUGCAGAGACGCCGCGUGCGGGAUGACGGCCUUCGGGUUGUAAACCGAUUUCGCAGGUGACGAAGAGUGAGUGACGGUAAUGGGUAAAGAAGCAACGGCUAACUACGUG